rnacentral:rRNA from 1 species
GUGUAAGCUACUAAGAGCGUACGGUGGAUGCCUUGGCGCUAAAUGCCGAUGAAGGACGUGGUACACUGCGAAAAGCCUCGGGGAGUCGUGUGCAGACGCUAUAUCCGAGGAUGUCCGAAUGGGGAAACCCACCAGGGGUUGUGCCCUGGUACUGUUAUCUGAACACAUAGGGUAACAGAGGGAACGGGGUGAACUGAAACAUCUAAUUAACCCCAGGAAAAGAGAUUAUUCCCUGAGUAGUGGCGAGCGAAAGGGGAUCAGCCCAAACCAUUACCUUUUAGGUAGUGGGGUUGUAGGACUUUACAUAACGGAUUCUACUGGUAACAAAACCUUUCUGGAAAGUUAGGCCAUAGAAGGUGACAGCCCUGUAUGUGAAACCGGGAUGAAUCUAGUAAAGCACCUGAGUACAGCGGGACACGCUAACCCUGCUGGAAGCUGGGAAGCCCACUUCCCAAGGCUAAAUACAUUUAGCGACCGAUAGUGCACAAGUACUGUGAAGGAAAGGUGAAAAGACCCCCGGUAAGGGGAGUGAAAUAGAACCUGAAACCGUAUGCUUACAAACGGUCGGAGCACUAUGGCCCUUCGGGGCAAUGUGUGACGGCGUGCCUUUUGGAGAAUGAGCCAGCGAGUUAAUCUCAGUGGCCGGGUUAAGUCAGGAAUAGACGGAGCCAUAGCGAAAGCGAGUCUGAAUAGGGCGCUAGUCGCUGGGAUUAGACACGAAACCAUGUGAGCUACCCAUGUGCAGGCUGAAGCGAGACUAACCUCUCGUGGAGGGCCGAACUCACUAAUGUUGCAAAAUUAGGGGAUGACAUGUGGGUAGAGGUGAUAUGCCAAACGAACUUGGAGAUAGCUUGUUCUCUCCGAAAUAGCUUUAGGGCUAGCGCUACGUGUUUAGUAUAGGGGGUAGAGCACUGAAUGAGCUAGGGGGCGCGAGCUUACCGAACUCAAUCAAACUCCGAAUACCUAUACUCCAAGCGUAGUAGUCGGACUGCGUGAGAUGAGUUUCGCAGUCGAAAGGGAAACAACCCAGACCGCCAGCUAAGGUCCUCAAAUCUAUGCUAAGUGGGAAACGAUGUGAGAGUGUUCAGACAGCCAGGAGGUUGGCUUAGAAGCAGCCACCCUUUAAAGAGUGCGUAAUAGCUCACUGGUCAAACGCUCUUGCGCGGAAAAUGUAACGGGGCUUAAGCAUAGUACCGAAGCUACGGAUUCCAGAUUUAUCUGGGAUGGUAGGAGAGCGUUCUGUAGGAGAUACAAGGUUGACCGAAAGGACAGCUGCGGCCUACAGAAGUGAGAAUGCUGGCAUGAGUAGCGUAAAACAUGUGAGAAACAUGUUCCCCGUAAACCUAAGGUUUCCGACGGAAGGUUAAUCCGCGUCGGGUUAGUCGGGCCUUAGCCGAGGCCGAAAGGCGUAGGUGAUGGACAACUGGUUAAUAUUCCAGUACCGCUUAUGUGGAGCGAUGAGGGGACGCAGUAUGGUAGGUCAGCCCGUCUAAAUGGACAUGGCGGGUCUAAACAUCUAGGACGUUGAAGGGUGUAGGAAAAUCCGCGCCUGGAGUCUGAAGUGUGAAUGCGAUGCCAAUUGCGGCAGAAGUGAUUGAGCCAAGCUGUCAAGAAAAGCCUCUAAGCGUUGAAGUGUGAGCGCCCGUACCGCAAACCGACACCGGUAGGUGGGUAGAAGAUACCAAGGGGAUCGGGAGAACCCUCGUUAAGGAAUUAGGCAAAAUACAUCCGUAACUUCGGGAGAAGGGUGGCCUCUGACGGUUAGCAAUUAUGCAAAGCUGUUGGGGGCCGCAGAGAAAUGGCUCUUCCAACUGUUUAACAAAAACACAGGUCUCUGCUAAGUCGAAAGACGACGUAUAGGGGCUGACGCCUGCCCAGUGCUGGAAGGUUAAGGGGAGAGGUUAGACGAAAGUCGAGGCUUUGAACCGAAGCCCCAGUGAACGGCGGCCGUAACUAUAACGGUCCUAAGGUAGCGAAAUUCCUUGUCGGGUAAGUUCCGACCCGCACGAAUGGCGUAAUGAGAGGAGCACUGUCUCAACGAGGGACCCGGCGAAAUUGAAGUACGUGUAAAGAUGCGCGUUACCCGCAGCGGGACAAAAAGACCCCGUGGAGCUUUACUAUAACUUGGCAUUGGAUUAGGGCUUAACUUGUGUAGGAUAGGUGGGAGGCUAUGAAGCUGGGACGCCAGUCUCGGUGGAGCCACCGUUGAAAUACCACCCUGGUUAAGUUUUGAUUCUAACCUGCGUCCGUAAUCCGGCGUGGGAACAGUGCCUGGUGGGUAGUUUGACUGGGGCGGUCGCCUCCGAAAGUGUAACAGAGGCGCCCAAAGGUUCUCUCAGGCUGAAUGGAAACCAGCCAUAGAGUGUAAAGGCACAAGAGAGCUUGACUGCAAGACAUACAAGUCGCGCAGGGACGAAAGUCGGGCUUAGUGAUCCCACGGUACCGAGUGGAAGGGCCGUGGCUUACCGGAUAAAAGCUACCCCGGGGAUAACAGGGUAGUCUGGUCCAAGAGUUCAUAUCGACGACCAGGUUCGCCACCUCGAUGUCGGCUCAUCACAUCCUGGGGCUGGAUAAGGUCCCAAGGGUUGGGCUGUUCGCCCAUUAAAGUGGUACGUGAGCUGGGUUCAGACCGUCGUGAGACAGGUCGGUCUCUAUCCGCUGUGGGCGUAAGGGAUUUGAGAGGAGCUACCCCUAGUACGAGAGGACCGGGGUGGACAGACCUCUAGUGUGCCAGUUGUUCCGCCAGGAGCAUAGCUGGGUAGCUAAGUCUGGCAGAGAUAACCGCUGAAAGCAUCUAAGUGGGAAACUCGCCUCAAGAUGAGAUCCCUCAUCCGUAAUGGAGUAAGACCGCUAGGAGACGACUAGCUUGAUAGGCGGCAUGUGUAAGUGCAGUAAUGCAUUCAGCUAAGCCGUACUAAUGGUCGAGGGCUUACGAUA